GCUCUAGUGGUAUGGUUAUUGUUUGUUUAGGGCCCUUGCAUGUUUGCAUAAGCAGGUAAGAUACUCCUACAAUUGUACAUUUAGAGAAGUCUCAAAAAAUGCCUAGCUGUAAAGGUUUUUAUUUUGUAAUUGCACUGAGUGGUUCACAGAGAUGUUAAGCCUGGUAACGCCAUCUUCUCUUGGAAGCUAAAUAAAGGCUAUCUCAUUGAUUUCAAUCUUGCCAUGGUUGAGUUGCUUAUCCUGCUAGUGCUGCCAUACUAAUGUGAAUUUUUAAAGCAAUCAUUUUACUGAAUUAAAAGUUAAAACAUCAAAAUAGCUGAUGGUGUUUCUGUCUUCAUUUUUCUUUUUCACAGGAUUUGCAAAGCAAGUACACUAUUGGAAGUAAGCUCUGCAUGAAUCUUUGUCCACUGUAUGAGUAAAUCAAAAUCAAGUCAUAAUGUUUCUAUUAAUCAAGUCAUAAUGGUUGAGGGCAAAGCUUGGUCUAGAACAACAAUUCUGAACAGGCCUUUGGUUCUCAAUUGUCUUAGUACUGCAAUGGUGUGUGUCUUUUACUAGAUAUUCUUUGUUACUCUAUGUGCGUGUUUGUGUUUUUGGCUAUUGGGUUGGCACCCAAUUUGUAAAGAUUGGCUCAGUUGAAAGAUUUGUUUUCUGGGUCUUUGUUUUUAUGGUGUUUAGUUGAGAAUCAUUAUGUUUAAUUGGGUUUACUCCAAUUGUGUAAUAUCCCGUAUCUGUGUUGUUAUAUACUCUCCAUUUGGUUCAAUUGAAAACAUUACUUGGGUUAUUAUUUU